ACGCCGCGUGAGUGAUGAAGGCUUUCGGGUCGUAAAACUCUGUUGUUAGGGAAGAACAAGUGCUAGUUGAAUAAGCUGGCACCUUGACGGUACCUAACCAGAAAGCCACGGCUAACUACGUGCCAGCAGCCGCGGUAAUACGUAGGUGGCAAGCGUUAUCCGGAAUUAUUGGGCGUAAAGCGCGCGCAGGUGGUUUCUUAAGUCUGAUGUGAAAGCCCACGGCUCAACCGUGGAGGGUCAUUGGAAACUGGGAGACUUGAGUGCAGAAGAGGAAAGUGGAAUUCCAUGUGUAGCGGUGAAAUGCGUAGAGAUAUGGAGGAACACCAGUGGGCGAAGCGACUUUCUGGUCUGUAACUGACACUGAGGCGCGAAACGUGGGGACAAACAGGAUUAGAUACCUGGUAGUCCCGCCGUAAACGAUGAUGCUAAGUGUUANAGGGUU
rnacentral:rRNA from 1 species